UUUUUUUAAUUUGUAUAUUGUUGUUUUAUAUUAUAAAGAAAAAUAAACACACGCAAGAUAUGCAAUAGGGGGUCUAGGCUCUCUCUCUCUCUCUUCAUUCUCUCUGCCUAUCCAUCCGUCUUUUUAGGCACAACCAGUGCGAUGGGGUGUUUUAAAAUCUCUCAUAUGCAACCA
rnacentral:ribozyme from 12 species